GUGUUCUGAGCAGCACGGUUUGUAGAUCUAUAAGUAUAACCCAAACUUCUCUUUCUCCCGGUCACCUUUGUUUGUCUUAAGUGUUUUUUUUGUGGGUGAUUGUUUGUCUAUAUUGGGGACACACUUUGGUAAGUUAGUAGUGUCCCCACUCUGAGUCAGCAGUAUGGGAAAUGUGAGUUCAUGUCCUGAGUGACCAAUAUAUGUACAUGUAUAUGUGUGUGUAUGUAUAUAUGUAUAUAUGUAUGUAUAUAUGUGUGUGUAUAUGUAUAUGUGUAUAAAUAAGAUAGCAGUACUUUUAAACAAAUGGAGGUUUUAAAAAUACAUAGGGAUUAAGGAGAGAACGCAGGUAACUUGUUUUUCUUUGGUUUUUACCAUAUAUUGGGGCUGAUGUGUACUGUAGUCCUUGCUGCUGCCCAGUAGUGAUGGGAGUGAGCGUAGGACUUAUCUUUCUGCAAGAUAGCAGUACUGUAUAUUAGAAAAGAAAUGACUCACAGGUUGUACCUGAUAGACCUACUUAAAUCUUUUUGCUUUAUUCUUUCUGUCGCAUAGAAGUAUAAGUUUAUUACUCUGUUUUAUUGUAAGUUAUUUCACAUGGGAUCUAUGUGCCUGGUAUGAUUGCUGCUUUAAAAAUACCAUAAGCCCACUACACUUAUUAUGAGAGUGGGAUAGUGUAAAUGUGUUGCAUUGUUUGCAUGAUGAGCUCAGUAUAUUUUAUAACUGAGACAAAAAGUCACUUCAUUAGUAUUUGGAAGUUAAUUCCCCAUAUGGGAUUAAUUGUAUAGAAACACCAAUCAGCACUUCUUCCCUGCCCUGUGUGUUUGUUGCAAAGGAUCCAUACUGUAAAUAUAAUUUUUGUUUGAAAAUAAGAGAGCAACAUUUACAUUUUCAGCGGUCCAACACAUGCUUUAUUUUGCACUGUAAACUAACCUUUUUAUUGCAACAGGUUCCUUUUAAAUGAUCCAGUGUAAUAACUACUGCUUGUGUCUUCUAUGUCUCACAUUAUGUGUUAUUUUAAAUUGUGGUAUAUAGCCUGAAUCAGAAAUCAUGGACAAAGGUUUUUACCUGUGUUACUAAGGGCUCUUGGAGACUGACC